rnacentral:rRNA from 1 species
AUUUUUAAUGAUAUUCUUCGCCCGUCAUCGCAUGGAAGACGCCAACACACGCUAACGAGUAGCAAUUGGAGGGCAAGUCUGGUGCCAGCAGCCGCGGUAAUUCCAGCUCCAAUAGCGUAUAUUAAAGUUGCUGCGGUUAAAACGCUCGUAGUUGAAUUGUGGUCUUAGACAACAGUCCCCCUACAUAGGUGUGGCACGGUUGCUCGAGAUCUUCAUUCGUGGUUGCUGUUGUUGCUCUUCAUUGAGUGUCAAUGGUGCCUCGAGAUUUUACUUUGAAAAAAUUAGAGUGCUCAAAGCAGGUUGUGAUGCCUGAAUAAUGGUGCAUGGAAUAAUAGAAUACGAUCUCGGUUCUAUUUUGUUGGGUUUUCGAACCGGAGAUAAUGAUUGAACCGAACAGACGGGGGCAUUCGUAUUGCUGCGUUAGAGGUGAAAUUCUUGGAUCGCAGCAAGAUGAACAAUUGCGAAAGCAUUUGCCAAGAAUGUUUUCAUUAAUCAAGAACGAAAGUUAGAGGUUCGAAGGCGAUCAGAUACCGCCCUAGUUCUAACGGUAAACUUUGCCAACCAGCGAUUCGCCGAAGUUCAUUUAAGACUCGGCGAGCAGCUUCCGGGAAACCAAAGUGUUUCGGUUCCGGGGGAAGUAUGGUUGCAAAGCUGAAACUUAAAGGAAUUGACGGAAGGGCACCACCAGGAGUGGAGCCUGCGGCUUAAUUUGACGCAACACGGGAAAACUCACCCGGCCCGGACACUGGAAGGAUUGACAGAUUGACAGCUCUUUCUUGAUUCAGUGGGUAGUGGUGCAUGGCCGUUCUUAGUUGGUGGAGCGAUUUGUCUGGUUAAUUCCGAUAACGAACGAGACUCUACCCUAUUAAAUAGUGAUAGUAUUGUAUUUUUGUGCUGAUCACUUCUUAGAGGGACUGGCAAAUUGAAAGCUGCACGAAAAAGAGCAAUAACAGGUCUGUGAUGCCCUUCGAUGUCCGGGGCUGCACGCGCGCUACAAUGAAAGCGUCAACGUGAGUUACGUCCUUACCUGAAAAGGUUUGGCAAUCGAAUGAAACGUUUUCUUGAAUGGAAUAGGGAAUUGCAAUUGUUUCCCUUGAACGAGGAAUUCCCAGUAAGCGUGAGUCAUUAGCUCGCGUUGAUUACGUCCCUGCCCUUUGUACACACCGCCCGUCGCUACUACCGAUUGGAUGAUUUAGUGAGGUGUUUUGACUGGCGCCAGUAGUCGGAUGUAUUCGGCUUCGCGCCGGGAAAUUUCCCAAACCAAAUCAUCUAGAGGAAGUAAAAGUCGUAACAAGGUUUCCGUAGGUGAACCUGCGGAAG